rnacentral:rRNA from 1 species
UGGGGAAUAUUGGACAAUGGGGGCAACCCUGAUCCAGCAAUGCCGCGUGUGUGAAGAAGGCCUUCGGGUUGUAAAGCACUUUUAUCGGGAACGAAACAUUGUCGGCCAAUACCCGGCAAGACUGACGGUACCCGAGGAAUAAGCACCGGCUAACUCCGUGCCAGCAGCCGCAGUAAUACGGAGGGUGCAAGCGUUAAUCGGAAUUACUGGGCGUAAAGCGUGCGCAGGCGGUUUGUUAAGUCUGCUGUGAAAUCCCCGGGCUCAACUUGGGAAGUGCAGUGGAUACUGGCAAGCUGGAGUACGGUAGAGGAAGGUGGAAUUCCAGGUGUAGCAGUGAAAUGCGUAGAGAUCGGGAGGAACACCAGUGGCGAAGGCGGCCUUCUGGACCAGUACUGACGCUCAUGCACGAAAGCGUGGGG